ACGAACGCUGGCGGCGUGCUUAACACAUGCAAGUCGAACGGAAAGGCCCUGCUUUUGUGGGGUGCUCGGGUGGCGAACGGGUGAGUAACACGUGAGUAACCUGCCCUUGACUUUGGGGUAACUUCAGGAAACUGGGGCUAAUACCGGAUAGGAGCUCCUGCUGCCUGGGGGGGGUUGGAAAGUUUCGGCGGUUGGGGAUGGACUCGCGGCUUAUCAGCUUGUUGGUGGGGUAGUGGCUUACCAAGGCUUUGACGGGUAGCCGGCCUGAGAGGGUGACCGGCCACAUUGGGACUGAGAUACGGCCCAGACUCCUACGGGAGGCAGCAGUGGGGAAUAUUGCACAAUGGGCGGAAGCCGGAUGCAGCAACGCCGCGUGCGGGAUGACGGCCUUCGGGUUGUAAACCGCUUUCGCCUGUGACGAAGCGUGAGUGACGGUAAUGGGUAAAGAAGCACCGGCUAACUACGU
rnacentral:rRNA from 1 species